rnacentral:rRNA from 1 species
GACAGAGGGUGCAAACGUUUGUUCGGAAUUACUGGGCGUAAAGCGCGUGUAGGCGGCUAAGUAAGUCGGGCGUGAAAUCCCACGGCUCAACCGUGGAAGUGCACUCGAAACUGCAUAGCUAGAGUCCUGGAGAGGAAGGUGGAAUGCUUGGUGUAGAGGUGAAAUUCGUAGAUAUCAAGCGGAACACCGGUGGCGAAGGCGGCCUUCUGGACAGUGACUGACGCUGAGACGCGAAAGCGUGGGGGAGCAAACAGG